rnacentral:rRNA from 1 species
GAGUUUGAUCAUGGCUCAGAUUGAACGCUGGCGGCAUGCCUUACACAUGCAAGUCGAACGGCAGCACGGGAGCAAUCCUGGUGGCGAGUGGCGAACGGGUGAGUAAUAUAUCGGAACGUGCCCAGUAGUGGGGGAUAGCCCGGCGAAAGCCGGAUUAAUACCGCAUGAGACCUGAGGGUGAAAGCGGGGGAUCGCAAGACCUCGCGCUAUUGGAGCGGCCGAUAUCAGAUUAGCUAGUUGGUGGGGUAAAGGCCUACCAAGGCAACGAUCUGUAGUUGGUCUGAGAGGACGACCAGCCACACUGGGACUGAGACACGGCCCAGACUCCUACGGGAGGCAGCAGUGGGGAAUUUUGGACAAUGGGCGAAAGCCUGAUCCAGCAAUGCCGCGUGCAGGAAGAAGGCCUUCGGGUUGUAAACUGCUUUUGUCAGGGAAGAAAUCCCUUGGGAUAAUACCCCGGGGGGAUGACGGUACCUGAAGAAUAAGCACCGGCUAACUACGUGCCAGCAGCCGCGGUAAUACGUAGGGUGCGAGCGUUAAUCGGAAUUACUGGGCGUAAAGCGUGCGCAGGCGGCUUUGCAAGACAGAUGUGAAAUC